GUAUUUCAGGAAAUUUUGAGAUUUGCUCAGUGAAAAGCGAGGUACAAAAAAAUUGGACUUGGUUGAAGAGCGAGUGUUGUGUUCAUGCACAGAGUGUGUUGGAGUGUGGUCAAGUCUUUUCCACUAGCAAGCAGGCAGGCAUCAUCGGCGAAGAGCUUGGUUAGAAGAUUAGACCAGUUCGACAAGUCAUUUACAGAGAGAAAAAAAGCCAAAGGCCCGAUAAUUGAACCCUGGACAAUUCCGCACUGAAUGGGCAACAUUGGGGACUUAUGAGAACCUAAUUCAACAAAUUGAAAACGACCACUCAGGUUCAAUAUUAUUUGGUGAACCUCGGAAGGUGUCGUUUGCUCCAGAAAAA